UUUAGUAUUGAUUGGAGAAGUUGUGGUGAUUAAUUGUGUUAUAACUUGCUUGCUUUGUGUUGAUGAGUUAAACAUGAGUUAAAUUUCAAGCUAAAGCAUGCUAAUGUGUAAUAAGAUGAUGUAAUUGAGUCCCUAUGGUUGUAUUUGACAAAAGUAUGAAUUAUAUGUUAAGUUGAAACAAAGGGACUUUGCUGUCAGUUUUCGGCUUGACAGGGCAGUAUGUUUCGAGGUGCUUCUGAUGGUGUUAUCGUAGUCUAAAUAACUUGAAAUUUUUACUGUAAUAACUUCGGCAUGAGUGGUACGUGUCUGCAAAAUUUCAGCUAAAUCCAACACCGUUAGAUAUGUCAAACGAAUUUCUGAAAUGUACUGCACGAAGAAGCGUAGGUCAGUGGCAGUUUCUGCCUUUGGUGAUAUAACUUCUUAUACACUUGAGACAUUGUAUUUUUGUAAAUUCCUGAUAAAUAUAGACUUUAAUAUCUUUCUAAAAAGAUAAAGCUUGUAUUUUUCUUUGAAGGGGUUGAUUUUAUAUGAUAUUUCAAAGUUGAGAUUCAUAUAUGAUUACAUAUUUGAAGUGACUUUAAUAUGAUUUCAACUUGAGAUAUCCCAAGAAAUAUGAUGUUAUUGUUUGUUUUGCAGAUAGUUAAGUCCAUAAAAGUAGAAUACUCAGAUUAGAGGAUGCAACUCCUGUGUGACGCUUGAGGUAAAAUAGCUAAAUGUUUGAUGCUUAUAUAAUUGAACACUUAGGAGCGUGGAAUGUGAAUAUAUGAUAGAAAUUGGGAGAUAUUGGGUAUGUUACUAUGUGUUGAGCCAAUUUUGAUUUAUGAAUAAGGGAAGAACUACUUUUAGUAUUGAUUGGAGAAGUUGUGGUGAUUAAUUGUGUUAUAACUUGCUUGCUUUGUGUUGAUGAGUUAAACAUGAGUUAAAUUAAUUGUGUUAUAACUUGCUUGCUUUGUGUUGAUGAGUUAAACAUGAGUUAAAUUUCAAGCUAAAGCAUGCUAAUGUGUAAUAAGAUGAUGUAAUUGAGUCCCUAUGGUUGUAUUUGACAAAAGUAUGAAUUAUAUGUUAAGUUGAAACAAAGGGACUUUGCUGUCAGUUUUCGGCUUGACAGGGCAGUAUGUUUCGAGGUGCUUCUGAUGGUGUUAUCGUAGUCUAAAUAACUUGAAAUUUUUACUGUAAUAACUUCGGCAUGAGUGGUACGUGUCUGCAAAAUUUCAGCUAAAUCCAACACCGUUAGAUAUGUCAAACGAAUUUCUGAAAUGUACUGCACGAAGAAGCGUAGGUCAGUGGCAGUUUCUGCCUUUGGUGAUAUAACUUCUUAUACACUUGAGACAUUGUAUUUUUGUAAAUUCCUGAUAAAUAUAGACUUUAAUAUCUUUCUAAAAAGAUAAAGCUUGUAUUUUUCUUUGAAGGGGUUGAUUUUAUAUGAUAUUUCAAAGUUGAGAUUCAUAUAUGAUUACAUAUUUGAAGUGACUUUAAUAUGAUUUCAACUUGAGAUAUCCCAAGAAAUAUGAUGUUAUUGUUUGUUUUGCAGUUAGUUAAGUCCAUAAAAGUAGAAUACUCAGAUUAGAGGAUGCAACUCCUGUGUGACGCUUGAGUUUGCAGGAGAAUGCUACUCCAAAAAGGAAAUUGAUGAAGUAAGGAUAGAGUGGAGUUGGUGCUAAAAAGCAGAGAAGAAAAGGAUCGGAAAUCACCGUGGUUCCGCUGCCGCCAUCGCCGAACCCGACCCAGACUCCCAGAAUACAAAUCUCAGCCCAAAAGUAAAAGUAUCAAGAUUCAAAUGUUGGAUGAAAUUUGUGAUGUUGGAUGUAAUAUUGGAUUAAUAAUGUUUGAAUGAAUGUAUGGAUUGUUAGUAUUAAUAUAUGUAUUUUUAGUUUUC